rnacentral:rRNA from 1 species
ACCCGCAGCACAAGUGGUGGUCAUUAUUAUUGGGCCUAAAGCGUCCGUAGCAGGCUUGUUAGAUGCCUGGGUAAAUCGAUGCGCUCAACGCAUCGACUUCCGGGUAGACCGGCAAGCUCGAGACCGGGAGAGGCGUGGGCUACUCGAGGGGUAGGGGUAAAAUCCUGUAAUCCUUCGGGGAGGACCAGUGGCGAAGGCGCCACGCUAGAACGGCUCUGACUGUGAGGGACGAAGCCCUGGGGCGCAAACCGGA